AACGAACGCUGGCGGCAUGCCUAACACAUGCAAGUCGAACGAGACCUUCGGGGCUAGUGGCGCACGGGUGCGUAACGCGUGGGAAACUGCCCUUAGGUUCGGAAUAACUCCCCGAAAGGGGUGCUAAUACCGGAUAAUGUCUUCGGACCAAAGAUUUAUCGCCUUUGGAUGGGCCCGCGUUGGAUUAGCCAGUUGGUAGGGUAAAAGCCUACCAAGGCGACGAUCCAUAGCUGGUCUGAGAGGAUGAUCAGCCACACUGGGACUGAGACACGGCCCAGACUCCUACGGGAGGCAGCAGUGGGGAAUAUUGGACAAUGGGCGAAAGCCUGAUCCAGCAAUGCCGCGUGAGUGAUGAAGGCCUUAGGGUUGUAAAGCUCUUUUACCCGGGAUGAUAAUGACGGUACCGGGAGAAUAAGCUCCGGCUAACUCCGUG
rnacentral:rRNA from 1 species